GACGAACGCUGGCGGCGUGCUUAACACAUGCAAGUCGAACGCUCGUAGCAAUACGAGAGUGGCAGACGGGUGAGUAACACGUGGGAACCCUCCCUAUGGUUCGGAAUAGCUCAGGGAAACUUGGGGGUAAUACCGGAUAAGCCCUUCGGGGGAAAGAUUUAUCGCCAUUGGAUGGGCCCGCGUCGGAUUAGCUAGUUGGUGAGGUAACGGCUCACCAAGGCAACGAUCCGUAGCUGGUCUGAGAGGAUGAUCAGCCACACUGGGACUGAGACACGGCCCAGACUCCUACGGGAGGCAGCAGUGGGGAAUCUUGCGCAAUGGGCGAAAGCCUGACGCAGCGACGCCGCGUGA
rnacentral:rRNA from 1 species